rnacentral:rRNA from 1 species
CCUACGGGACGCAGCAGUGAGGAAUAUUGGUCAAUGGCCGUGAGACUGAACCAGCCAAGUCGCGUGCAGGAUGACGGCCCUAUGGUUUGUAAACUUCUUUUAUGCGGGGAUAAAAUUCUCCACGUGUGAUUCUUUGCAUGUACCCUAUGAAUAAGCACCGGCUAAAUCCGUGCCAGCAGCCGCGGUAAUACGGAAGGUGCGUGCGUUAUCCGGAUUUAUUGGGUUUAAAGGGUGCGUAGGUCGUUUGUUAAGUCAGCGGUGAAAGGUCGUGGCUCAACCAUGGAAUUGCCGCGGAAACUGGAAGACUUGAGUGUGCGUGAGGUAGGCGGAAUGCGUGGUGUAGCGGUGAAAUGCAUAGAUAUCACGAAGAACUCCGAUUGCGAAGGCAGCUUACGAAGGCACAACUGACGCUGAAGCACGAAGGCGCGGGUAUCAAACAGGAUUAGAUACCCUUGUAGUC